rnacentral:lncRNA from 1 species
AAUCUGCCUUUGCAGCCCCUCCUCAUGCGGGAUCUCCGGGGCUUUUCCUCCCCGUUGGCUUCCUGUGUCAUGAAGCCGCUCAAAACGGCCUCUUCCACAAGUUUCUGCCGCGUGGAUUUGUCCUCUCUGGUCUCCAUCCUCAGCUCCUGACUGCCUGGGCAAUGAAAGACAAGGAGUGGAUGGGAUUUGUCUCCGUGCCAGAGGGAAGGAGUUCCUCCAGUGCAUCCCCGGCAGGACGAUGUCGUUCACAAGCGGCGCCAACAGAUGUCGCUAUUGGACAAGAAAUGAAUACACAGACGCUUGGGAAGUUCCAAAGGGAAAAAGAGCCGGCUUUGUUCCAACAUCUGGUAAGGUAUUUGGAGAAUGUUCCAAAGGUGACCGUGGAUUGGAGGAUGGAAUUACUCCCUCUCCAACCACACUGGUCCAAAGACCAAUCAGUCAUUUCUCUCCACCCACAGAGAAAGAUGUAAACGAUUCUAUUUCCGCCUGAAAUGGCGUGGGAGCUCUGACUCUCAAAGAUGAAAACGUUCUCAAAGGCUAAAGAAGUUUAAUGAGAACUUUAAAACUUUCCAAAGAGCUCUAAAAGAAAACACUUUUAAAAAUCAGGGCAACAACUGGGCUCAUACUUGGCGCUGCUUGGAGCAACUGAGAGAAACUGGGAUCAUGCUGCAAGCCAGUUGCACGAUCUGAGAAUAACUGGAUGCAUGCUGGAGGCAACUGGGAUAUUCUGGCCAUGACUGUGGCAUCAUGCUGGGAUAACGAACACCUUACUGGGGCCACUGUAGUGCCUGGAAAUGAUUACAUACAGGCUGGAGGCAACUGGGAUCUACGGGCAGUAUCUGUAACCAUACUGGGGGGACUGGAACCACAUCGGGAACAAUUCCAGUAAAGAUUUGUAGGAAAUGGGUAUGUUUAUUCAGAGGGCAGCUGUGGCCGCAUGUCGGGACUCAUUGCCCUUUAAUGAACAUGUGUACGUACCUCUGAGAACUCCCAAUCCUUUUUUAUUACCCUUCCUAAUUUCCAUAUGCAUAUAAUUUCACAACAGGUUAGUGCAUAUUCAUUCUGCUGAUUUCACAUUACACUUACAGCUAGUUACACUUGUACUCAGUUUUUGUCAGAAAGUACAGAAAGAACUCCUGGGUCACUCUGCCAUGUCUGUUUCAAGGUCCGAGGAGUCUUUCUUAUCUCUUAUCUUUUAGUGUGGAAAUUUGCAUUCUUUCUCCUUAGCUGGGGUAGUUUUGCUAGGGCUGCAGUCACCAGACUAAACAGCAUAUUUAGCAAGCUUAAAGUGGCACAUUUCACCUAAAUCCAAAUGGAUUUCUACCCUGUUAAAUUUUCACUCUGUCUCAUUCCCCCCUUUCCUUAAGAUGAUAAGUAAAUUCUUUUACUUAAUGCAAAUCCUUACAUUAGUAAGUGCCACUUAGGGCUUUGCCAUGUACAUUUGACCUACUAGGCACAAUUACAGAAGUACAAGGAGUUCUCAAGCAUACACAAUCUUUACCAGCAUAUACAAGCACAGUUUUCUGAUCAGUGACUGAAUGAAUCUCGAAUUGGCAGAUAAACAGCGGCAUUGCGUACAGUAAGUACCAAGGCAGUGGCCACAUUAGAAGUAGGAUUAUAGGUUACAGAUGCUUUUCAUCCUCUCCCGUAUGAUCAAAGCUGCUGUUGUCUGUAUCUAAAACGAAGUCAAAGCUCACUAGUAAACCAGUCCUGUACAUAAAGAUUUGUAGAUUUGAAGUAGAGCAGGACUGGUCAAACAACCUUCAAAUAUUUCACCAGUUUGUGUACUUCUAUGAAACCAAAUCUGGAAUUACAUUGAUAAAAGUAUCAUGCUAGCAACCAAUACCUGCUACAUAUACCAUUUCUAGCCCAUAAACCUGUAGGAGAAGACAGUUUCACAGGGACCAGAACUACUUUGCAGAUGGCAUAGGCCAAAUUAUAAAAUUCCUGGACACAUUUUGUUCUGCCUAGUUUAGUUAAUUGCUUUGAUACGUUGAAUAAUGAAAUUCAGCCCUUUUCCAAAUAAAGGCAUAACCAGUUUUUCA